rnacentral:rRNA from 1 species
UACAGAGGUCUCAAGCGUUGUUCGGAUUCAUUGGGCGUAAAGGGUGCGUAGGUGGCGCCGUAAGUCAGGUGUGAAAUUUCGGAGCUUAACUCCGAAACUGCAUUUGAUACUGCGGUGCUUGAGGACUGGAGAGGAGACUGGAAUUUACGGUGUAGCAGUGAAAUGCGUAGAUAUCGUAAGGAAGACCAGUGGCGAAGGCGGGUCUCUGGACAGUUCCUGACACUGAGGCACGAAGGUCAGGGGAGCAAACGGG